UACGGGGGGGGCAAGCGUUGUUCGGAAUUACUGGGCGUAAAGGGCGCGUAGGCGGUGCUCUAAGUCGGAUGUGAAAACUCUGGGCUCAACCCAGAGCCUGCAUCCGAAACUGGAGUGCUAGAGUUCUGGAGGGGGUAGCGGAAUUCCUGGUGUAGCGGUGAAAUGCGUAGAUAUCUGGAGGAACACCGGUGGCGAAGGCGGCAUCCUGGACCAUUACUGACACUGAAUAGCGAAAGCCAGGGGAGCAAACGGG
rnacentral:rRNA from 1 species